CAGCCGCCGCGGUAAAACGAAGGGGGCUAGCGUUGUUCGGAUUUACUGGGCGUAAAGGGCGCGUAGGCGGACUGAUAAGUCAGGGGUGAAAUCCCAAGGCUCAACCUUGGAACUGCCUUUGAUACUGUUUGUCUUGAGUUCGAGAGAGGUAAGUGGAACUGCGAGUGUAGAGGUGAAAUUCGUAGAUAUUCGCAAGAACACCAGUGGCGAAGGCGGCUUACUGGCUCGAAACUGACGCUGAGGCGCGAAAGCGUGGGGAGCAAACAGGAUUAGAUACCCCUGUAGUCCCUGUCUCUUAUAC
rnacentral:rRNA from 1 species